rnacentral:rRNA from 1 species
ACUCAAAUGAAUUGACGGGGGCCCGCACAAGCGGUGGAGCAUGUGGUUCAAUUCGAAGCAACGCGAAGAACCUUACCAGGCCUUGACAUCCCGGUCGCGGAUCCCUGAAAGGGGAUCUUUCAGUUCGGCUGGACCGGUGACAGGUGCUGCAUGGCUGUCGUCAGCUCGUGUCGUGAGAUGUUGGGUUAAGUCCCGCAACGAGCGCAACCCUCGCCUCUAGUUGCCAUCAUUAAGUUGGGCACUCUAGAGGGACUGCCGGUGAUAAGCCGCGAGGAAGGUGGGGAUGACGUCAAGUCCUCAUGGCCCUUACGGCCUGGGCCACACACGUGCUACAAUGGCGGUGACAAUGGGCAGCAAUGGCGCAAGCCUGAGCUAAUCUCAAAAAGCCGUCUCAGUUCGGAUUGGAGUCUGCAACUCGACUCCAUGAAGUUGGAAUCGCUAGUAAUCGCGGAUCAGCACGCCGCGGUGAAUACGUUCCCGGGCCUUGUACACACCGCCCGU